CGAACGCUGGCGGCGUGCUUACCACAUGCAAGUCGACCGGAAAGGCCCUGCUUUUGUGGGGUGCUCGAGUGGCGAACGGGUGAGUAACACGUGAGUAACCUGCCCUUGACUUUGGGAUAACUUCAGGAAACUGGGGCUAAUACCGGAUAGGAGCUCCUGCUGCAUGGUGGGGGUUGGAAAGUUUCGGCGGUUGGGGAUGGACUCGCGGCUUAUCAGCUUGUUGGUGGGGUAGUGGCUUACCAAGGCUUUGACGGGUAGCCGGCCUGAGAGGGUGACCGGCCACAUUGGGACUGAGAUACGGCCCAGACUCCUACGGGAGGCAGCAGUGGGGAAUAUUGCACAAUGGGCGGAAGCCUGAUGCAGCAACGCCGCGUGCGGGAUGACGGCCUUCGGGUUGUAAACCGCUUUCGCCUGUGACGAAGCGUGAGUGACGGUAAUGGGUAAAGAAGCACCGGCUAACUACGUG
rnacentral:rRNA from 1 species